rnacentral:rRNA from 1 species
UGCAAGUCGAGCGGAACGAGUUAUCUGAACCUUCGGGGAACGAUAACGGCGUCGAGCGGCGGACGGGUGAGUAAUGCCUAGGAAAUUGCCUUGAUGUGGGGGAUAACCAUUGGAAACGAUGGCUAAUACCGCAUGAUGCCUACGGGCCAAAGAGGGGGACCUUCGGGCCUCUCGCGUCAAGAUAUGCCUAGGUGGGAUUAGCUAGUUGGUGAGGUAAUGGCUCACCAAGGCGACGAUCCCUAGCUGGUCUGAGAGGAUGAUCAGCCACACUGGAACUGAGACACGGUCCAGACUCCUACGGGAGGCAGCAGUGGGGAAUAUUGCACAAUGGGCGCAAGCCUGAUGCAGCCAUGCCGCGUGUAUGAAGAAGGCCUUCGGGUUGUAAAGUACUUUCAGCAGUGAGGAAGGGGGUGUCGUUAAUAGCGGCAUCUCUUGACGUUAGCUGCAGAAGAAGCACCGGCUAACUCCGUGCCAGCAGCCGCGGUAAUACGGAGGGUGCGAGCGUUAAUCGGAAUUACUGGGCGUAAAGCGCAUGCAGGUGGUUUGUUAAGUCAGAUGUGAAAGCCCGGGGCUCAACCUCGGAACUGCAUUUGAAACUGGCAAACUAGAGUACUGUAGAGGGGGGUAGAAUUUCAGGUGUAGCGGUGAAAUGCGUAGAGAUCUGAAGGAAUACCAGUGGCGAAGGCGGCCCCCUGGACAGAUACUGACACUCAGAUGCGAAAGCGUGGGGAG